rnacentral:lncRNA from 1 species
CCUUGGCCACCAUGUUGAAUUGUAAGUCAAGCACCCUACUAUUCAUUUAUCUUAGCCUACCACUCCCUGGUAGAAAAUUGCUGAAGCAUUGUUGGUUAUCACUGCUUGAAAAAAUGAGUGCUAGACUUGCUGCUUGGAAAGGGAAGCUCUUUUCAUGAGGAUAUAGAUAUACUCUUGUCAAUACUAUCCUCACAGUCCUACCAUCUUAUCUUAUG